GCCGCUGUAUUUGUGAACAAAUAGUACCUGUAGAAUUUAUAAGAGUUUAUGAUUUCAUUUAGUUUUUCCAACGAACUGCGAAGUUCAGUUUUGUUUUUCCAAUUAAUUAAUUGUUGAUUAAUUCUUUAGUUUAGCUUAAUAAGAUCUCUGCAGCAGUUCCCAAGUGAGGAAAGAAGUAUUAUUUUAACUAAUAGUUUACUAGAAGAAGAAAGAGAAAUGUCACAAGGAAGAGAGAGAAGAAAAUUUUAAAAAUUAAUGAGAUGAAACAACCUUUUAGUCCCUCAAAUUUUAAAAAUGGUUUGUAACAGAGAUGGAGGAUUCGUACGCAAGUUGAGCUUAUCCGCCAAGAUUUUAAUGAUGAUGACUCAUGAAGUUCAUCAAGAAAUUGAAUGUCAACAAAACUAUGCUUCUUGUCCAAGAUCCAAAAAUAGAUCAAACUACUUUUAAAGAAUUCAAAUCAAAUCGAAAAGUACAGAGGAAGGUCAACACGUUCUCAAAAAAUCCCUGAUUCUCGUUCGACCGAGUACCAAAAACGAAUCAAACAAUAUUGAAUAACUAAU
rnacentral:lncRNA from 1 species